rnacentral:sRNA from 1 species
GAUCGCUCGGCAGCUGCAAGAGCUGCGGCGGCUGGAGGAGGAGGUUCGGCUCCUGCGGGAGACCUCGCUGCAGCAGAAGAUGAGGCUAGAGGCCCAGGCCAUGGAGCUAGAGGCUCUGGCACGGGCGGAGAAGGCCGGCCGAGCUGAGGCUGAGGGCCUGCGUGCUGCUUUGGCUGGGGCUGAGGUUGUCCGGAAGAACUUGGAAGAGGGGAGCCAGCGGGAGCUGGAAGAGGUUCAGAGGCUGCACCAAGAGCAGCUGUCCUCUUUGACACAGGCUCACGAGGAGGCUCUUUCCAGUUUGACCAGCAAGGCUGAGGGCUUGGAGAAGUCUCUGAGUAGUCUGGAAACCAGAAGAGCAGGGGAAGCCAAGGAGCUGGCCGAGGCUCAGAGGGAGGCUGAGCUGCUUCGGAAGCAGCUGAGGUAGGUGGGCGGAUGCCGACGGGAGCCCAGCAAUUAGUGAUGUGGUGGAUCUGCAGGGCGCCCCACUGAUGGCUGUCCCAUUCCCACCCCAA